GCCAUAGAGAGAAAGAAAAACAUAUUUCUUUGGUUUGACUUCUUUCUGUUACUGUGGAAGUGGUGCCACAAAAACGACAAAUUGAUUUGUUUUGUUAUACUUACGGCUUACAUCGAGUUAUUGUUUGUCGUUACUACUUCAGCCAUUUGAGCGCUUACUUCAGCGGAAAGAAAAUAAAUAUUGAGAGAGUUUGCCGCUUUGUUACUCGAAGAUGAACGUUCAUUCAUUCUAUUCUAUAACAUUGGGCGAUAGUACAUUCACUGUGCAUAGUCGGUACCAAAACUUGAAAUUGGCCGGAUCAGGCUCUCAAGGAACUGUAUGUUCAGCGUUCGAUACAGUAGCACAAAAAGCAGUUGCUAUUAAAAAAUUAUGCAAUCCAUUUCAAAAUGUUACGUAUGCCAAACGGGCUUUCAGAGAGUUCAAGGUUAUGCAUUUGGUGAAUCAUAAAAAUGUAAUUGGACUUUUGAAUGCGUUCAC